UGGCGGACGGGUGAGUAACGCGUGGGUAACCUGCCUUACACAGGGGGAUAACACCUGGAAACAGGUGCUAAUACCGCAUAAGCGCACAGGGCCGCAUGGCCCGGUGUGAAAAACUCCGGUGGUGUAAGAUGGACCCGCGUCUGAUUAGCUUGUUGGCGGGGUAGGGGCCCACCAAGGCGACGAUCAGUAGCCGGCCUGAGAGGGUGGACGGCCACAUUGGGACUGAGACACGGCCCAAACUCCUACGGAAGGCAGCAG
rnacentral:rRNA from 1 species